UGGGGAAUAUUGGACAAUGGACCAAGAGUCUGAUCCAGCAAUUCUGUGUGCACGAUGAAGUUUUUCGGAAUGUAAAGUGCUUUCAGUUGGGAAGAAAGAAAUGACGGUACCAACAGAAGAAGUGACGGCUAAAUACGUGCCAGCAGCCGCGGUAAUACGUAUGUCACGAGCGUUAUCCGGAUUUAUUGGGCGUAAAGCGCGUCUAGGUGGUUAUGUAAGUCUGAUGUGAAAAUGAAGGGCUCAACUCUGUAUUGCGUUAGAAACUGUAUAACUAGAGUACUGCAGAGGUAAGCGGAACUACAAGUGUAGAGGUGAAAUUCGUAAAUAUUUGUAGGAAUGACGAUGGGGCAGCCAGCUUACUGGACAGAUACUGACGCUGAAGCGCGAAAGCGUGAGUAGCAAACAGG
rnacentral:rRNA from 1 species